rnacentral:rRNA from 1 species
UACGUAGGGUGCAAGCGUUGUCCGGAAUUAUUGGGCGUAAAGAGCUCGUAGGCGGUCUGUCGCGUCGGCUGUGAAAACCCGGAGCUCAACUCCGGGCCUGCAGUCGAUACGGGCAGACUGGAGUUCGGCAGGGGAGACUGGAAUUCCUGGUGUAGCGGUGAAAUGCGCAGAUAUCAGGAGGAACACCGGUGGCGAAGGCGGGUCUCUGGGCAGUGAACUGAAGCUGAGGAGCGAAAGCGUGGGGAGCGAACAGG